rnacentral:lncRNA from 1 species
UGAAUACUUGAGUGUGUGCAAGCACACAUGUGUAUAUGUGUAUGCAUUUGUGUCUCUGUGUGUAUGCGUGCAUGCAGUUGUAUGUGUUUUGUGUGCAUACAUGUAUAUGUACAUACAUGCAAACAAGUGUAUGCACAUGUUUCUUUGUAUAUGCAUAUAUGUACAUAUAUGUAUAUGUGUGCCCAUAUGUAUGCAUGUGCAUUGUGUGUGUAUCUAUGUAUAUGCAUGUAUGCAUGUCAGUUUGUAUGUGUUAGCUUUCUGUCACUGUGGCAAAAUACCUGAAGAAAACAACUUAAGGAAGGAAAAGUUUAUUUCGGCUCACAGUUGUAGAUGUUUCAGUUCAUGGUGAAAGGAUAAAAGAAACUGGAGUUAAAAUGUAAAAGACCAGGUAUUGUAAAGUUUCUAAGCUGCACUCAGAACCUGAAAUUCCUGUGGCAGUUAAGACAAUUCCAGGAACUGCCCAUUAGAUAUGUGUCGAAAUUCCCCCGACCACUCAGUUGUUUAAUAACCUGGACCCUGUGCAGUUCAGCACGUAGGCACCUCAGGGCCUAAACCAAUCAGUUUGAAUGUAUACCCUGCUUUAGGACUGACCUAUCACCCCCGCCCGACCUGUUCCCGCCAAUGAAUGUGCUAAUCAUGUUUGAGAGUUGAUUUUCCCGUGCCUCAUGAUGAUUUGCUCUGAUGUAUGCAAAGCCCCCGCCCUCCCCAAAAAGUGUACUUAAGCACUGCUUAACCCCCGCUAGGGGCUCUGGGAUGCUCUCCCUCCUUGAGUGAGCAUAGAGCCCCAGCAUGCUGG